UGGGGAAUAUUGGACAAUGGGCGCAAGCCUGAUCCAGCCAUGCCGCGUGGGUGAAGAAGGCCUUCGGGUUGUAAAGCCCUUUUGUCCGGAAAGAAAAGCAUCGGGCUAAUACCUCGGUGUUCUGACGGUACCGGAAGAAUAAGCACCGGCUAACUUCGUGCCAGCAGCCGCGGUAAUACGAAGGGUGCAAGCGUUACUCGGAAUUACUGGGCGUAAAGCGUGCGUAGGUGGUUCGUUAAGUCUGAUGUGAAAGCCCUGGGCUCAACCUGGGAAUUGCAUUGGAUACUGGCGAGCUAGAGUGCGGUAGAGGAUGGCGGAAUUCCCGGUGUAGCAGUGAAAUGCGUAGAGAUCGGGAGGAACAUCUGUGGCGAAGGCGGCCAUCUGGACCAGCACUGACACUGAGGCACGAAAGCGUGGGGAGCAAACA
rnacentral:rRNA from 1 species